GUGCUCACUUCAGAAGCACAUAUACUGAAAUUGGAACAUUACAGAGAAGAUUAGCAUGGCCCCUGCGCUAGGAUGACAUGAAAACUCAUGAAGUGUUCCCUUGAAAA
rnacentral:snRNA from 1 species